GAUGAACGCUGGCGGCGUGCCUAAUACAUGCAAGUCGAGCGAACAGACGAGGAGCUUGCUCCUCUGACGUUAGCGGCGGACGGGUGAGUAACACGUGGAUAACCUACCUAUAAGACUGGGAUAACUUCGGGAAACCGGAGCUAAUACCGGAUAAUAUAUUGAACCGCAUGGUUCAAUAGUGAAAGACGGUUUUGCUGUCACUUAUAGAUGGAUCCGCGCCGCAUUAGCUAGCUGGUAAGGUAACGGCUUACCAAGGCGACGAUGCGUAGCCGACCUGAGAGGGUGAUCGGCCACACUGGAACUGAGACACGGUCCAGACUCCUACGGGAGGCAGCAGUAGGGAAUCUUCCGCAAUGGGCGAAAGCCUGACGGAGCAACGCCGCGUGAGUGAUGAAGGUCUUCGGACCGUAAAACUCUGUUAUUAGGGAAGAACAAAUGUGUAAGUAACUAUGCACGUCUUGACGGUACCUAAUCAGAAAGCCACGGCUAACUACGUG
rnacentral:rRNA from 1 species